rnacentral:rRNA from 13 species
CUAUAACGGUCCUAAGGUAGCGAAGUUCCUUGUCGGGUAAGUUCCGACCUGCACGAAUGGCGUAACGACUUCCCCACUGUCUCCAGCAUCGACUCAGCGAAAUUGAAGUCCCCGUGAAGAUGCGGGGUACCCGCGGUCAGACGGAAAGACCCCGUGAACCUUUACUGCAGCUUGGCUGUGGCACCGGAAAUAGUAUGUGUAGGAUAGGUGGGAGGCUUUGAAGCAGCGGCGCCAGUCGUUGUGGAGCCAUCCUUGAAAUACCACCCUUAUUCUUUUCGUUGUCUAACC